AUCUGCUCUUUUGGUAUUAUCUGUGCCACUCUUUGUCUCUCUUAUCUCAGAUCCCUGAGAGUUGAUUAAGAGUUGGUUUUUCUAAUGUGGAUUCCUUGUUUAUAAGAUGUUCUCCCACGUUUCUAAGUCAACAGCAGAUAGAUAGAUAGAUAGAUAGAUAGAUAGAUAGAUAGAUAGAUAGAUAUGUAUGUAUAGACACACACACACAUAUAAUUAAAGGACAUCAGUUGGUAGUCAAAUGACAAAGCUUUGUUGUUGAAAUGCUUUUCUGUGUGCUUUUCCUCUAGUGACCACUCAAAGCGUGAGGAAACCACAGAACCUGACAGUGUUGCUGAGACGCUUAUACCAUUAAAACCAGUACAGGAACUUGAUAAGUGGAAGCCAAAGGAAAAAUUUUCUGAGACUACAGACAACAAAAAAGAAUUGGAGAUAUUACUCUAUUUAGUUUUGAAAACUGAGAGGAAGAAAAAGAGACAUAAGAAAAAAAGGAGAUCAGAGUCCAGGAUGAACUUAAGAAGAAGAAGAAGAAAAGAAUUAGCUCGGAAAAAGGGAAAUAAGCAUUUAGGAGUUAACGCCGAAGACAUAAAAAUUCUCGAUCUGAGUAAGCAAAAUGGAGAACUUCAGAAAAUGCCUGAGAAGGGAAACUAUGACAGAGGGAAAAUGAAAGAUGCUAAAUGGGAGUAUCAGGUCCUGCUGUCAGCAGGCCUUCCUUAUCAGAUUCCAGCUUUCAACAUACCCAGCUUUAAAAUGUUCAAUUUGUGGUGAAAGAAAAGCCAAGUAAAAAUAGAAGCAGAGAGGGGAGAAUAAAAAUGUUGUGAAGUAAUAGUUCUCUUGGUUU
rnacentral:lncRNA from 1 species